rnacentral:misc_RNA from 1 species
CCGAGUUUACAACUCCCAAACCCCUGUGAACAUACCACUUGUUGCCUCGGCGGAUCAGCCCGCUCCCGGUAAACGGGACGGCCCGCCAGAGGACCCCUAAACUCUGUUUCUAUCAUGUAACUUCUGAGUAAAACCAUAAAUAAAUCA